ensembl:lncRNA
AGCUUCGCCUCCGUGGAAGGUCUGCUUCAGAAGAAGAUGAAGAGUCCCUGUGUGAUACAGUCUUAUGCUGUAUCCUCCUCUCGAUGAGGUGUGUGCGUUUGAGCCAGGUGAGACUGGAGCUAUCAAAGCUCUGGAGGAACAAAGCAAUGGGUCCAGAUAACAUCAACCGAACACUUGCAGGAUUGUUCCAACACUUCUUCAACCUCUCUUUGAAGCUGAAGAAGGUUUCCCAGCUGUGGAAGACCUCCUGCAUUGUUCCGGUGCCUAAGAUAGCACCUCCCUGCUCUCUCAAUGACUACAAACCAGUGCUGCUGAUCUCGCACCUUUGAGAGACUGGUACUGCAACACCUUAGGCCCCAGGUGUGCGACUCCAUGGAACCACUGCAGUUCCGUACCAAGCUCAACUCGGCGUGGACAAAGCCAUCAUCUACCUGCUGCACAGGGCUUACUCACACCUGGAGAGGCCGGGGAACACAGUGAGAGUCAUGUUCUUUGACUUUUCAAGUGCGUUCAACACCAUCCAGCCUCUCCUGCUUGUGAAGAAGCUCUCAACGAUGCGGGUGGACAACGACAUGGUGGCCUUGAUUGGAGACUACCUCUCCAGCAGGCCACGGUACGUGCGGCUGCAGAGCAGAUGUGGUGAUGAGCAACACCGGUGCACCGCGAGGAGCAGUACUUUCACCUUCUAACUUCACCAUCUACACCUCUGACUUCACCAUCAACUCGGGACGGUGCCGUCUACAGAAGAUCUCGGAUGACACCUCCAUUGUGGGCUGCAUCGGUGAGGACGAGUACAGGGUAGUGGUGGAGGGCUUCGUCAGAUGGUCUGAGUAGAACCACCUCCAGCUCAACAUCGGCAAGACCAAGGAGCUGGUGGUGGACUUCCGACCGAGCAGGAAGCCCCCAACCCCCAUUACCAUCCAGGGGGUUGAAGUAGAGACUGUGGACGCGUACAAAUUCCUUUCAGUGCACAUGAACAAUAAACUGGACUGGAAAGACAACACAGAGGCCCUCUAUAGGAAGUGUCAGAGCAGACUCUUCUUCUUCAGGAGGCAUAGGUCAUUUUACAUGUGUGGCAGGCUACUGAAGAUAUUCUAUCAGUCUGUGGCAGCCAGCACACUGUGCUUUCCUGGGGCAUGCUGGGGAGGAGGCAUCAAGGCUGGGUGAGGAAGGCUAGCUCUGUUGUAGGACUUGAACUGGACAGUCUGGAGGUAGUGGUGGAAAGAAGGUCUAUUGCCCCAACACAUUUCUCCUACGGGGGAUUAAUAAAGUUGUAUCGUAUCGUAUUGCAAUUGCAAUUCUAAAUAUUUGUUUAGCAAUACCAGUAGGCCCAGGUAGGAGGAAAACCACGUUGACUUGUUUUCAUCUAAUUUCC